AAGGCUUUAGCUUAAUUAAAGCGUCUGUUUUGCAUGCAGAAGAUGUGGGGUAAUAUCCUGCAAGUCUUA
rnacentral:tRNA from 5 species